UACGUAGGUGACCAGCGUUGUCCGGAUUUACUGGGCGUAAAGAGCGCGCAGGCGGUCGUUCAAGUCGAGCGUGAAAGCCCCCGGCUCAACUGGGGAGGGUCAUUCGAUACUGAUCGACUCGAAGGCAGGAGAGGGAAGCGGAAUUCCCGGUGUAGUGGUGAAAUGCGUAGAUAUCGGGAGGAACACCAGUGGCGAAGGCGGCUUCCUGGCCUGUUCUUGACGCUGAGGCGCGAAAGCUAGGGGAGCAAACGGG
rnacentral:rRNA from 1 species